GGAAGGCACAUGCUCACGCAGACAACUAUAGAUUGAUAUUUAUUCCUUUUUAUUAGUGGAUUAGUGGAACAGAGACCUCUACUGGCCCAGCUUGAAGAGCUGCUGCCAUACCUCAGCUGUGCAUCUGGCCACUGCCGAGGUUUGCUGCCGGUGGGGUUUCUCACUUGCCUUCACUUCAUCUACUUUGGAAGUUUCCUCUUGGGUGACAAGUAUUUGCCAAGCAAGCUAGGAAUCAACCUUUCACUGUUUUCCCUUCUGUUUAAGAAACCCAGCAUGUAGGGAGUCACUCGGUUAUGAUUACUAGCACGUGAGUUUGGGGCAGUGCUCAAUGUAGUAGGUAAAGUAGCUUAUUUCCUUUAGGAGUGGAUGAACCUGGGGCACUCAAGCAUGGCAGAGAAUUAGAGGCUUAUUGGUUCUGGAGGACAAGGCAGCAGGAAGGUCCUGGUGACAAGUCCUUGAAGGACACAGAAGUAACUGCAUGCCAAAGGAACCCAGGAGACCAGGUUUGGGAAACCUAACCCAGGAGCCUUUUCUGGAGGAGGGGGAGAAUGCAGAAAGAAAAGGCUUUCACAUAGGAAGUAACAGAUUAGCAGGACCAGAAGACUGUCUGGAGGAAAGGAGGAAGCUGAGGUGUUGCUGGUGCAUUUACAAGCUGUUCUGAACAAGUUCUUUGGUGUGCCUGUGCGAGUCAUGCUGAUAGAAGAGCUUAAGGCCAGUGCUGUGCCAGAUACUUGCCCUCAGCAUGAGUACUGCAUGUAGAUGGUCCGUGUCACUGCGAAUGAGACAUAUCUGCCCUUG